UACGUAGGGUGCAAGCGUUAAUCGGAAUUACUGGGCGUAAAGCGUGCGCAGGCGGUUUUGUAAGUCAGAUGUGAAAGCCCCGGGCUCAACCUGGGAAUUGCAUUUGAGACUGCAUAGCUAGGGUGCGGAAGAGGGAAGCGGAAUUUCCGGUGUAGCGGUGAAAUGCGUAGAUAUCGGAAGGAACACCAGUGGCGAAAGCGGCUUCCUGGUCCAGCACCGACGUUCAGGCACGAAAGCGUGGGGAGCAAACAGG
rnacentral:rRNA from 1 species